AGUGAACGCCGGCGGUAGGCCUAACACAUGCAAGUCGAACGGCAGCACAGUAAGAGCUUGCUCUUACGGGUGGCGAGUGGCGGACGGGUGAGGAAUACAUCGGAAUCUACUUUUUCGUGGGGGAUAACGUAGGGAAACUUACGCUAAUACCGCAUACGACCUACGGGUGAAAGCAGGGGAUCUUCGGACCUUGCGCGAUUGAAUGAGCCGAUGUCGGAUUAGCUAGUUGGCGGGGUAAAGGCCCACCAAGGCGACGAUCCGUAGCUGGUCUGAGAGGAUGAUCAGCCACAGUGGAACUGAGACACGGUCCAGACUCCUACGGGAGGCAGCAGUGGGGAAUAUUGGACAAUGGGCGCAAGCCUGAUCCAGCCAUACCGCGUGGGUGAAGAAGGCCUUCGGGUUGUAAAGCCCUUUUGUUGGGAAAGAAAAGCAGCAGGUUAAUACCCCGCUGUUCUGACGGUACCCAAAGAAUAAGCACCGGCUAACUUCGU
rnacentral:rRNA from 1 species